UAACAUACUUCUCCUUUCCACACAUGGAAACAAACCACUGCUCCUUGCAAAACCCAAGCACUGACAUGUGACGUGACGCAGUUAUCAGUGGCCUCAUACUAUUCCUUGGUGAAAAAGAAGAGAAACUUUUCGAAGAUUGCCUGGAGGACAAUCGCAGUGAUGCCACUCAACACAUAGUCAAGAUCCUGGUUGUCCAUGGUACUGAUGGAGAAGAACCAGUAGAUGUUUCCAUCAUUCUUGAAGGGAAGGAGGUAUUGACACGAUGCAACAGCACAGCCAAAGCUUGCACGUUGCUAAUGGGACUGAUUUAUUCCCUGAACCUUGCCUACCCCUCGACUCUGCGCUACACCUUUGAGGUGUUUCAAAAACUUUUCCUGGAACUGAAUGGGAUAAAGCUGUCACCAAAAGUACAUCUUUAAAGUUGAAGUUGCUGUCUGAAAGGAAUUUUCUUUCUUAAAUGUUCCUAAUGUUGUCAACAAAGGCAACUGCUGUCAUUCAUGCUCACAAGGUAAAAAAAAAGUUAAAAAUAACCUUUGUUUUAAAGGUUUUAACAGAGGAUUUGAUGUUGUCCUCAAACUUUAAUGUUUUAACCGAAUGCUAAUAUAAAUAUGUUAAUGGAUGUUGUUGUUUAGAAUGUUGUUCAUGUCAGUACAGCAUAUUUUGUCAGGUCAAACCCUCAAUCUGUUUUGUCACCUGAUGUGCCCUGUUUAGUUUAAUGCGUCCAGGAGUCAAAAACAUUUUGAUUUUCCAGUGAUAUGCUUUUUUUCUGUAUAGCGUAAUGAUCACUCAGUAAAGGUAAACUUUUUUCUUUAUUG
ensembl:lncRNA